AGGAGGCAGCAGUAAGGAAUGUUGGACAAUGGGGGGAACCCUGAUCCAGCAAUGCCGCGUGUGUGAAGAAGGCCUUCGGGUUGUAAAGCACUUUAGGCGGGGAAGAAGGUAGGUAUUUUAAGAGAUAACCUAUUUGACGGUACCCGCAGAAUAAGCACCGGCUAACUCUGUGCCAGCAGCCGCGGUAAUACAGAGGGUGCAAGCGUUAAUCGGAUUUACUGGGCGUAAAGGGCGCGUAGGUGGUUAUUUAAGUGAGAUGUGAAAGCCCCGGGCUCAACCUGGGAACUGCAUCUUAUACUGGGUAACUGGAGUACAUGAGAGGGUAGUGGAAUUUCCGGUGUAGCGGUGAAAUGCGCAGAUAUCGGAAGGAACACCAGUGGCGAAGGCGGCUACCUGGCAUGAUACUGACACUGAGGCGCGAGAGCGUGGGGAGCAAACAGGAUUAGAUACCCCGGUA
rnacentral:rRNA from 1 species